AUUGAACGCUGGCGGCAUGCUUUACACAUGCAAGUCGAACGGUAACAGGCCUUCGGGUGCUGACGAGUGGCGAACGGGUGAGUAAUGCAUCGGAACGUGCCCAAUCGUGGGGGAUAACGUAGCGAAAGUUACGCUAAUACCGCAUAAGCCCUGAGGGGAAAGCAGGGGAUCGCAAGACCUUGCGCGAAUGGAGCGGCCGAUGUCAGAUUAGCUAGUUGGUGGGGUAAAGGCCUACCAAGGCGACGAUCUGUAGCGGGUCUGAGAGGAUGAUCCGCCACACUGGGACUGAGACACGGCCCAGACUCCUACGGGAGGCAGCAGUGGGGAAUUUUGGACAAUGGGCGCAAGCCUGAUCCAGCCAUGCCGCGUGCGGGACGAAGGCCUUCGGUU
rnacentral:rRNA from 1 species